AAGUGAUCUAGGUAUGGGCAGGGUGAAGGUGCAGUAACAUGCACUGGAGGCCCGAACCGUUGAGCGUUGAAAAGCUCUCGGAUGACCUGUGCCUAGGGGUGAAAGGCCAAUCAAACUUGCUUAUAGCUGGUUCUCCGCGAAAUCUAUUUAGGUAGAGCGUCGAUCGAAUACUCUUGGGGGUAGAGCACUGACUGGGCUAGGGGUCCUCACCGGAUUACCAAACCUUAUCAAACUCCGAAUACCAAGAAGUACUAAUCGGCAGACACACGGCGGGUGCUAACGUCCGUCGUGGAGAGGGAAACAACCCUGACCACCAAUUAAGGUCCCCAAAUAAUGGCUAAGUGUGAAAGGAUGUGGGAUUGCUUUGACAAUGAGGAGGUUGGCUUAGAAGCAGCCAUCCUUUAAAGAAAGCGUAACAGCUCACUGGUCUAAUUAAGCCGUCCCGCGCCGAAGAUGUACCGGGGCUAAAGCCACGUACCGAAGCUGCGGAUGUAACUUUCCUGAUGGGAUUGUUACGUGGUAGCGGAGCAUUCCGUAAGCCUGCGAAGGUGUACCGCGAGGUAUGCUGGAGGUAUCGGAAGUGAGAAUGCUGACAUGAGUAGCGAU
rnacentral:rRNA from 1 species